GAGGGAUGCUACCGGGCGACCGGAUGCGGAUCUCGAAAGCCUGUCCCAGUUCGGACUGGAGUCUGCAACCCGACUCCACGAAGUUGGAUUCGCUAGUAAUCGCGCAUCAGCCAUGGCGCGGUGAAUACGUUCCCGGGCCUUGUACACACCGCCCGUCAAGCCAUGGGAGCCGGGGGCGCCUGAAGUCCGGGACCGCGAGGACCGGCCUAGGGCGAAACUGGUAACUGGGGCUAAGUCGUAACAAGGUAGC
rnacentral:rRNA from 1 species